rnacentral:rRNA from 1 species
ACCGGCGGCUCGAGUGGUGGCCACUAUUACUGGGCUUAAAGCGUUCGUAGCUGGAUUGUUAAGUCUCUUGGGAAAUCUUUCGGCUCAACCGGUAGGCGUUCCAGGGAAACUGGCAAGCUAGGGACCGGGAGAGGUGAGAGGUACUCCAGGGGUAGGAGUGAAAUCCUGUAAUCCUUGGGGGACCACCUGUGGCGAAGGCGUCUCACCAGGACGGCUCCGACAGUGAGGGACGAAAGCUGGGGGAGCAAACCG